rnacentral:tRNA from 1 species
GCGCUCGUAGCUCAAUUGGAUAGAGCAACGGACUUCGGAUCCGUAGGUUGUAGGUUCGACUCCUGUCGGGCGCACCA